GGAGGCUGGACCAGGCGACGCUGAAGACUCGGAGGCUGGACCAGGCGACGCUGAUGAGGCCGCGGAGGCUGGACCAGGCGAGGCUGAUGAGGCCGCAGGUGACGGCGUGGAAGCCGGAGACGAUGAGGCCGCAGGUGACGGCGAGGAAGCCGGAGACGAAGAGGCCGCAGGUGACGGCGAGGAAGCCGGAGACGAAGAGGCCGCAGGUGACGGCGAGGAAGCCGGAGACGAAGGCACUGCAGCUGGCGGCGUAGAUGGUGAGGCUGCAGCUGGCGUGAAUGAAGAGGCGGCAGCUGGUGUGGAAGCCAGAGGCGGCGGCGCUGCAGCUGGCGGCGGCGUGGAAGCCGGAGACGGAGGCGCUGCAGCUGGCGGCGGCGUGGAAGCCGGAGACGGAGGCGCUGCAGCUGGCGGCGGCGUGGAAGCCGGAGACGGAGGCGCUGCAGCUGGCGGCGGCGUGGAAGCCGGAGACGGAGGCGCUGCAGCUGGCGGCGGCGUGGAAGCCGGAGACGAAGAGGCCGCAAGCGGCGGCGUGGAAGCCGGAGACGGAGGCGCUGCAGCAGGCUGGACGGAUCCCUCGGACCCUCCAGCGGAGACAGGAGACGAAGGCCGGAGCGGUCCCUCGGACCCUCCAGCGGAGACUUGAGACGAAGGCCGGAGCGGUCCCUCGGACCCUCCAGCGGAGACACGAGACGAAGGCCGGAGCGGUCCCACGGACCCUCCAGCAGAAGCCAUCACUAAGCCAGCAGCCAUGGAGGCCACUAGCACACAUGAAAGCAACUGGCACUGCCCAGAGCACUGGCCCUGCCCAG
ensembl:lncRNA